CAGCCGCCACGGUAAUACGUAGGUGGCGAGCGUUGUCCGGAAUUAUCGGGCGUAAGGGGAGCGCAGGCGGGCGAGUAAGUCUUUCUUAAAAGUGCGGGGCUCAACCCCGUGGGGGGAGGGAAACUACUCAUCUUGAGUGCAGGAGAGGAAAGCGGAAUUCCUAGUGUAGCGGUGAAAUGCGUAGAUGUGUGGAGGAAUACCGAUGGCGAAGGCAGCCCCCUGGGAUAACACUGACGCUCAUGCACGAAAGCGUGGGGAGCAAACAGGAUUAGAGACCCCAGUAGUCCCUGUCUCUUAUACA
rnacentral:rRNA from 1 species